rnacentral:lncRNA from 1 species
AGCGAAGAGACUCUGUCACCUUUGGGACAUCCAAAAUAGAUGGGAGCUGUGCCCUGAGCAUUACUCAUGAGGUUACCACGAAGAAGCAGGUUAGAAGCUGUUAGAAAAGACUCCUUCAUACCUCUGGCAGUGCUGACAUCCAUGCUACGGUGUAGUCAUUUGAAACUGCAGGGACAUCAGUCUUCACUGACACCUGGGAACACAGAGGUGAUUAUGUGGAAACUAACAAAUCUUCAGCAUUAUUACAGGCAUGGGAGGCAGGGAGAGGGCUUUCGGAUUUCUUUUCCAG